rnacentral:rRNA from 1 species
UACGUAGGGCGCAAGCGUUGUCCGGAAUUAUUGGGCGUAAAGAGCUCGUAGGCGGUUUGUCGCGUCUGCUGUGAAAACUCGAGGCUCAACCUCGGGCUUGCAGUGGGUACGGGCAGACGUAGAGUGCGGUAGGGGAGACUGGAAUUCCUGGUGUAGCGGUGGAAUGCGCAGAUAUCAGGAGGAACACCGAUGGCGAAGGCAGGUCUCUGGGCCGCAACUGACGCUGGAGGAGCGAAAGCAUGGGGAGCGAACGGG